UACGUAGGGUGCAAGCGUUGUCUGGAAUUACUGGGCGUAAAGCGUGCGCAGGCGGUCCGUUAAGACAGAUGUGAAAUCCCCGGGCUUAACCUGGGAACUGCAUUUGUGACUGGCAAGCUAGAGUAUGGCAGAGGGGGGUAGAAUUCCACGUGUAGCAGUGAAAUGCGUAGAUAUGCGGAGGAACACCGAUGGCGAAGGCGACCACCUGGACUGAUACUGACACUGAGGUGCGAAAGCGUGGGGGAGCAAACAGG
rnacentral:rRNA from 1 species